rnacentral:lncRNA from 1 species
UCUGAAGUAGUUAUCUUGUGAAGUUAAGUCUAGGAAAGACUUAGACUGAUCAUGUGAAGGCCUUGGAGGAGUUAGAGAGAAGAUGGCAGAGUGUGCAAAUAUAGGGCUCAAAGUGUACCUGAUAACCCAAUCCGUACACUCCCCUAAUGAAGACUUGUAUCACAAGGUAUGAAGAAGAGUGUUGGUGCAAAGUGUGGGCGUGAGAUACUUGAUCUCUUAUGACCGUGGGAGUUAUGGGAAAGCAAGGGAAUAUUCCAAGAGGAUCAGUGUGAGCUGGAUGUGCAAGCUGGAAAGGUAAAGGUGCUUAACCUUUACAGCAAAACCAAUCUCCUCCUUUCAUUCAAAAGAAGCAAUCUGAGCCUUCUAUUUGAAUAAAGUCGCCAGCUAGCACCAGCAACAUCAAAGACCAGUCUUCUCUCAUCCUUACCAUCCAUUCUAUCAUUUAUUUACAGCCUUAGGAUCUAGGUUUAUGAUAUAAGUUGUG